GACCAGACUCCUACGGGAGGCAGCAGUGGGGGAUAUUGCACAAUGGGGGGAACCCUGAUGCAGCGACGCCGCGUGGGUGAAGAAGUAUUUCGGUAUGUAAAGCCCUAUCGGCAGGGAAGAAAUUGGACGGUACCUGACUAAGAAGCCCUGGCUAACUACGUGCCAGCAGCCGCGGUAAUACGUAGGGGGCAAGCGUUAUCCGGAUUUACUGGGUGUAAAGGGAGCGUAGACGGUUCUGCAAGCCAGAUGUGAAAGCCCGGGGCUCAACCCCGGGACUGCAUUUGGAACUGUAAGGCUAGAGUGUCGGAGAGGCAGGCGGAAUUCCUGGUGUAGCGGUGAAAUGCGUAGAUAUUAGGAGGAACACC
rnacentral:rRNA from 1 species